rnacentral:rRNA from 1 species
UGGGGAAUUUUGGACAAUGGGCGAAAGCCUGACCCAGCAACGCCGCGUGAAGGAUGAAGUAUUUCGGUAUGUAAACUUCGAAAGAAUAGGAAGAAUAAAUGACGGUACUAUUUAUAAGGUCCGGCUAACUACGUGCCAGCAGCCGCGGUAAUACGUAGGGACCAAGCGUUGUUCGGAUUUACUGGGCGUAAAGGGCGCGUAGGCGGCAAUUCAAGUCAUCUGUGAAAUCUCCGGGCUUAACUCGGAACGGUCAGAUGAUACUGCUUUGCUAGAGUGCAGAAGGGGCAAUCGGAAUUCUUGGUGUAGCGGUGAAAUGCGUAGAUAUCAAGAGGAACACCUGAGGUGAAGACGGGUUGCUGGGCUGACACUGACGCUGAGGCGCGAAAGCCAGGGGAGCAAACGGGGAUUAGAUACCCAAGUAGUCCCUGAGCGGGCUGGCAAGGCG